CCCCCCCCCAGGGCUGCCCCACGGCUCAGGGCCGGGCUCCUGCUUCCCCUCCCCCCCAGUCCUGCCCCACGGCUCAGGGCCGGGCUCCUGCUUCCCCUUUCCCCCAGGGCUGCCCCACAGCUCAGCCAGGCUCUUGCUUCCCCUCCCCCCCAGGCCUGCCCCACUGCUCAAGGCCGGGCUCCUGUAUCCCCCAGCUCAGGGCCAGGGUCUUGCAUCCCCCAGGCCUGCCUCACGGCUCAGGGCCAGGGUCCUGCUGCCCCCUGGGCCUGACCCACUGCUCAGGGCCGGGCUCCUUUUGUCCCCAGGGCUGGGCCACUGCUCAGGGUGGAGCGCCUGCUGUCCCCCAGGCUGGCCCCACCGCCCCUGGCCUGGCCUGGCCCACCACUUAGAACCAGGCUCCUGCUGCCUCCCGGGCCUGCCCCGGUGCUCAGGGCAGGUGACCAUUGUGCCUCGGAAAGAAGCAGCCCAAGGAGCUGCACAAAACUGUGGUGGGAAAAGCGAGGCAGGCAAGAGUGACAAAGGAUGGGACCGCUCCCCAACAGAAGGCAGGAAGCUGCAGUGCAUCACCUCAGCAACAUGAGCCGCCACAAGCACACCAUGCCUGGCCUCCGCCAUACCUUGGCUCCCCACGGAAUAGCCAGCCCCGGUCACGGGCUUGGGCCUAAUCAUCUAGUGUAACUGACUGCCACACAGAACAGAUAGCAAAACAGAGAAGUUGUCAGCAAGAGAAACUCUCAUGAGGUCUGGGGGAGAGACAGGAAGCAAGAAGAAAGGAACCAGCUCUGACACGGACUUGGUUGUGAUCGUAUCCCCUGCCCUCUGAAGGCCUGACAGCCCUAUGCAAACAUUAAUGAGCUACGCUUCUUGACGUUCCUGUGAGGUAUUCACAAUUCACACUGAUUGGUCACCAGAAGGACAGUGUUGUCGGACCUCCUGCACAGAAUUUCACCCAGUAAUUUCUAUCCCAAGCCCAUCACUUCUGGCUGAGCUAGAACAUAUCUUUUCAAAAGAGAUCCAGUCUUGAUGUGAAGACUUCAAGUGAUGGAGAAUCCACCACAUCUCCAGCUAAAUUGUUCAAAUGAUUAAUUACCUUCACUUGAAUAUGUGCACUCUGUUUCUAGUCUGAAUGUGUCUAGUUUC